UGGGGAAUAUUGCACAAUGGGCGCAAGCCUGAUGCAGCCAUGCCGCGUGUAUGAAGAAGGCCUUCGGGUUGUAAAGUACUUUCAGCGGGGAGGAAGGCGAUAAGGUUAAUAACCUUGUCGAUUGACGUUACCCGCAGAAGAAGCACCGGCUAACUCCGUGCCAGCAGCCGCGGUAAUACGGAGGGGGCAAGCGUUAAUAGGAAUUACUGGGCGUAAAGCGCACGCAGGCGGUCUGUCAAGUCGGAUGUGAAAUCCCCGGGCUCAACCUGGGAACUGCAUUCGAAACUGGCAGGCUAGAGUCUUGUAGAGGGGGGUAGAAUUCCAGGUGUAGCGGUGAAAUGCGUAGAGAUCUGGAGGAAUACCGGUGGCGAAGGCGGCCCCCUGGACAAAGACUGACGCUCAGGUGCGAAAGCGUGGGGAGCAAACA
rnacentral:rRNA from 1 species